AUCUACCAUUGGUAGGGGAGCAUUCCAUGUGGGGCGAAUCGCCAGGGUGACCUGGCGUGGACCGCAUGGAAAAGCAAAUGUAGGCAUGAGUAACGAUAAGGCGGGUGGGAAACCCGCCCACCGAAAGACCAAGGUUUCCUGAUCAACGCUAAUCGGAUCAGGGUCAGUCGGGACCUAAGGCCCACCCGAACGGGGAUGGCCGAUGGACAACCGGUUAAUAUUCCGGUACCCUUUUAUACUGCGAUGCGGUGACGUAGAGGUGGAACUGCCGCGCACUGACGGAAUAGUGCGUUGAAGGGGGUAGGUAUUGGAGCUGUAGGCAAAUCCGCAGCACCAGCCGAGACCCGACAGUACUGCAAAGCUUCGGCUGCGCAGAUAGUGCAGGUAAUCGUACUACCGAGAAAACCCGCUAAGCUCCAGGUAUAUAAGGCCCGUACCGCAAACCGACACAGGUGGUCGAGGAGAGGAUCCUAAGGUGCUCGAGUUAACCAUGGCUAAGGAACUCGGCAAAAUGGCCCUGUAACUUCGGGAGAAGGGGCGCUGUCUCAGCGAUGAGCAGCCGCAGUGAAAAGGCCCAGGCGACUGUUUAACAAAAACAUAUGGCUUUGCGAAAUCGCAAGAUGAAGUAUAAGGCCUGACACCUGCCCGGUGCCGGAAGGUUAAGAGGGGAUGUCAACCUUCGGGUGAAGCAUUGAAUCGAAGCCCCGGUAAACGGCGGCCGUAACUAUAACGGUCCUAAGGUAGCGAAAUUCCUUGUCGGGUAAGUUCCGACCUGCACGAAUGGUGUAACGAUCUGGGCGCUGUCUCAGCCAUGGGCUCGGUGAAAUUGUGGUGCCGGUGAAGACGCCGGCUACCCGCAACGGGACGGAAAGACCCCAUGAACCUUCACUAUAGCUUAACAUUGUGGACCUGUACGUGAUGUGUAGGAUAGGCGGGAGAUAUCGAAGCGGUUUCGCCAGGAACCGUGGAAUCGUCCUUGAAAUACCGCCCUUUGCGUACGGGUUCCCUAACCCUUAAAAUUAGGGGGACAUUGUUUGGUGGGUAGUUUGACUGGGGUGGUCGCCUCCAAAAAGGUAACGGAGGCUUUCAAAGGUAAGCUCAGUACGCUUGGUAACCGUACGCGGAGUGCAAUGGCAAAAGCUUGCUUGACUGUGGGGCCUACAAGCCGAUCAGGGUCGAAAGACGGACAUAGUGAUCCGGUGGUUCCGUAUGGAAGGGCCAUCGCUCAAAGGAUAAAAGGUACUCUGGGGAUAACAGGCUGAUCUCCCCCAAGAGCUCAUAUCGACGGGGAGGUUUGGCACCUCGAUGUCGGCUCGUCACAUCCUGGGGCUGGAGAAGGUCCCAAGGGUUGGGCUGUUCGCCCAUUAAAGUGGCACGCGAGCUGGGUUCAGAACGUCGCGAGACAGUUCGGUCCCUAUCUGUUGUGGGCGUUGGAAGUCUGAGUGGGUCUGGCCUUAGUACGAGAGGACCGGGCUGGACGCACCUCUGGUGAACCAGUUAUGCCGCCAGGUGUACGGCUGGGUAGCUACGUGCGGUGUGGAUAAGCGCUGAAAGCAUCUAAGUGCGAAACCCGCCACGAGAUUAGGCUUCCUUACAGGGCCGUGGGAGACUACCACGUUGAUAGGCCGCAGGUGUAAAGGUAGAGAUACCAUAGCCGAGCGGUACUAAUAGCCCGAAGCUUUCCGCGC
rnacentral:rRNA from 1 species